UGCAAUUUUUAUAAAUGAAUCCAGUUUAUGGUCCUGAUUUUUUUAUCAGAAACGGAGUUAUUAUUUUAGCUUUAUACUUUUAUAACGUAUGAGAAAAACGCGACGAGGAUUAUUGAGCCAUUCAAUAAUUAUUAUUUUCAAGUUAUAACUGACUUAGCAAAGUCAUGUUAUUUAUUAAUCGAAAAACAGAAGCAGUUAUAUUUAUUAGUGCUACUUGAAGUCGAGAAAUUAUUCCGACUGCAACGCAGAUUAAAUCUACGGAUUUAAUCUAGAUAUUAAAUGGCUUGUGAAUUGAAUUAAAUCUAUGUAUUUAAUUUAUACAUGAAUAAUGAGCAGAAGCCAAUAUUUGAUUGCAAACACGCGAUUAAAUAGUAGAUGCACUGAGUAACCAAGAUACAAAGAUUUAUUAUUAUUUACAAUUAGGACAUCACACUAUAUACGCAUAAUUACCACCAGCACUACAACAACAUCUUUCUUUUCCCUACAAUAACUAAGCCUCCACUAUCAUUAUCUUUUACACCUUUCUAACAUUUCUUUACGUUAGUGGCUAGCACACUUAAGUGCACCACCAAAUCCCCUUUUCUUAAUUUAUCUAUCAACCUUUAAACCACCACCUCCAAAGGCUUUAUCAUUCAGCCAACAUACUAAUCAUUCAUUCUUCAAGAAUUCAGAGUAAGUACGUUGAUUCCUGCUGCCAAACUUCGAACAGGUAAGCUUUGGUUUAAGUUUUUUCCACCAGUCCAUUCUUGAUUCCCCUGCAUAUGUCAAUAAGCAUCUGAAAAUUUCAGCUAUCUCCUCAUUAAAUUCAAUAGCAACAAACAGCCACCAACAACAAGCAAUUACAGGUCAAGCGCGAGAAUAAGAACUACACAAGGAGUUAGAGUACCUUAGCAAAACUUUGCUAUCAGGUUGAGCUGUGAUGGGCGAUGAAGUGUUGUUGCUGAGUAGAGUUUUUGUCGAAUUUAAAGUAGGCUCAGAAAGGAUACAUGUCUUCAUACAUGUAUCUCAGUUAUGCAUUCCGCUGUAAACACUGAUUAUUUCAGUUACACCUUCCGUUGCAAACUCUGAUAAUGUUUUAGCCAAGCCCCUAACGAUGCCUUUUUCCUUUUAAGGAAUAUAAUGCGUAUACAAGUUCUUUGAGUACCCUUUUUAUGCGAACUAUGCCUUUUUCCUUUUUAAGGA